CUUUUAACUUAGUGGUAUAGUAAUGCCGCGGUAAGACGGAAGUCAUCGGUUCGAAUCCGAUGAAAG
rnacentral:tRNA from 1 species